ACCGAAAUAGCUUAAAUAAAGCAUUGAUUUUGUAAUUCAAAGAUAAGUUGCUCUUUUUCGGUA
rnacentral:tRNA from 1 species